ensembl:snRNA U4 U4 spliceosomal RNA
AGCUUUGCGCAGUGGCAGUAUCGUAGCCAAUGAAGUUUAUACGAGGCGCGAUUAUUGCUAAUUGAAAACUUUUCCCGUAUCUGAGUAAAAUUCACGUAUAUAUUCACAUAUACAUAUUCAUAUAUAUAUAUCACAUCUUUCUUAUCCAUUCAUCAGCCAAUGG